CUACGGGGUGCAGCAGUGGGGAAUAUUGCACAAUGGACGAAAGUCUGAUGCAGCAACGCCGCGUGGAGGAUGACACAUUUCGGUGCGUAAACUCCUUUUAUAUAGGAAGAUAAUGACGGUACUAUAUGAAUAAGCGCCGGCUAACUCCGUGCCAGCAGCCGCGGUAAUACGGAGGGCGCAAGCGUUACUCGGAAUCACUGGGCGUAACGAGCGUGUAGGCGGAUAGAUAAGUCAGGAGUGAAAUCCUAUGGCCCAACCAUAGAACUGCUCUUGAAACUGUCUAUCUAGAAUAUGGGAGAGGUAGAUGGAAUUUCUGGUGUAGGGGUAAAAUCCGUAGAGAUCAGAAGGAAUACCGAUUGCGAAGGCGAUCUACUGGAACAUUAUUGACGCUGAGACGCGAAAGCGUGGGGAGCAAACAGGAUUAGAUACCCGGGUAGUC
rnacentral:rRNA from 1 species